rnacentral:lncRNA from 1 species
CUUGCAUGCCCAGUCUGUCCACUAGUUCCCCACAGGCCUGCAGCUCCAGUUUCUACAUGGGUCCUUUCCUGCACAGUACAUGAGCAACCUCCUGUAAGGGCUCAACAUCAUGGUCUUCUUUGAGGGCUGAAAUGUAGCUUUGCUAGAGGGUACCUCUCCCAUGGUUGCUGCAGAAAGCCAGCUAAGAAGCAAGGCACUUAGAGGCCAGGGAAGCUUCUGGUGCAUACUCUGGGCCCUCCCUACAUGGGACUGGUGUUAGUCUCCACAAUCCUGCUUUUCUGCAAAGUCAUAGCCCUUGUAGAUUGUAGUGAGCCCAGAGCUACUUGUUCUGCCUCCACUGGUGUUAAGACCUCAUACUUUUCACAAGCAUCCUUCAGUUUCAUACGCUCUAAAUCCAACAUCAUGUCUCAUUGCCAAACCUCUGGCAGGAGCCGUGUUGAGUUUCUCAGUGGAGCUAUCGACCACAUUGACUGAAGCCGCAGCAACGUGUUUCUCCCCGUCCAAAAGGGUAAAAAUAACAGGAACAAGUUGUCGGAAAUGAAAUUUCAAUUCAUCCACGCCCUUUCUACACUUCUGCUGCGACUCCCAAGCAGGGAUCGAUAGUGUUUAGACAGCCAAGGAGAUUUUUUCCCCUCUUAAAGCACCAGAUCAAUAGUAAAAAAAAAAAAAAAAAAUUCUCCAGCCCUCUGUAUGUGUUGUAGUAAAUGUGAACAAAUCAGAGGCCUUUGGCUAAACAGAUUGACUGAGGCAGCAGCAGUCUGGUGCUUUGUAACUAGGAGCACAUCAACUGCACAAGUGGCAAUGAGGGAGGAAACCCCAGUGCUCCCAUGGUCCUGGUAACCAGGAGCCUUCAAAGGGAAUGUCCGUCCCCAAAGUGAGUGGAAGAAAUGAAAAGAUUCCUGUGCACUGCAGCAUUUGGGCGUGACUUAAAAAAAAAAAUUAAAUACUCUCUGGGUGCGGUGACUCACACCUGUAAUCCCAGCACUUCGGGAGGCUGAGGUGGGUGGAUCACGAGGUCAAGAGAUCGAGACCAUCCUGGCCAACACGCUGAAACUCUGUCUCUACUAAAAAUACAAAAAUUAGCUGGGCAUGGUGGUGUGUGCCUGUAAUCCCAGAUACUCAGGAGGCUGAGGCAGGAGAAUCACUUAAACUCAGGAGGUGGAGGUUGCGGUGAGCCGAGAUUAAGCCACUGCCCUCAAGCCGGGCGACAGAGUGAGACUUCAUCUCAAAAAAAAAAAAAAAAA